AUCAAAUCUAGAGUCUCACUCAUGCUGACCAAGCAUUCUACCUUGUAUUAGGUUUCCGUGGAAACUGGGUGUCUGAAUAAGAGGACUUCCAGAAAGACAAAUGAACAAUCAGGAUAAAAUAUCAAAGAAAAAAUAUAUCUUCCCAAGAAAACUGAAGGCUGAGAUUGCAAAAGCUCACUGAAAACAUCAAAUAAUGAGUGAGAAAAGUCUCAAGCAAGGCUCCCUGGAGUUCUGUUUCAGACUUGUGAAGCUUACAUGUCCUUUUUCAAGCAAUAGUGAGCUGUCAUGUAAAGAGAUAGAAGAGUCCAGCUCAGAAAAGUUGGGUUGGAGGUGUGAGUGGGGAGAUAUUUGCCUAUGAAAAGUAUUUGAAGCCAAAACACAAAUGAAACAACUUACAAAGUGUUGCACAAGAGCAAUGACUGAUAGCAGAAAUCCCACACUUGGACAACGGAGACAAAAGGAUUGCUUCAACUACACAAAGAGCAUCGCUGUUUGCCAUGAAGCCAUCUUCCCCACCUCUCAGCAGCAUUACCUUCCGGAGAAGCAGCAGCAGUUCACUAGUGAAUUGCCUCAAAGGUAUUCUCAUGAUUGCAGUUUGUUUAUGUCACCAAAGGUAUUCCUUGGAGGUCUCACAGUAUUCCCUGUGAGACCACAUCUAAGACAUUCACAAGAGGUGAGUUUAAGUUGACUGAUGACUCCUGGCAAUUUUAACAAGCCAUUUUUCAUUGAAUCCAGGAGCCAAUUGUGACUCUGAUAGAGUUCACAUCAGGAGCAUCAAUAGAUGCUGCACGGUCGUCAUUCUCCAAAGCAAAGCAUGGCAGGAUCUCCCGAAGACACACGCAGCCUGGAAAGAGAAUUAGUUUAUUUUGACACUUCUACUUCAUCCUCUUACUGCCUACACAGUGAUUUACUGA
rnacentral:lncRNA from 1 species